UACGUAGGUGGCGAGCGUUUGUCCGGAUUUACUGGGCGUAAAGGGCGUGCAGGCGGUUUGUUAAGUGCAGGGUGAAAGCUCCCGGCUCAACUGGGAGAGGUCCUUGCAUACUGGCGAACUCGAGGGAGGCAGAGGAAAGUGGAAUUCCCGGUGUAGUGGUGAUAUGCGUAGAUAUCGGGAGGAACACCUGUGGCGAAGGCGGCUUUCUGGGCCUUACCUGACGCUGAGACGCGGAAAGCGUGGGGAGCGAACCGG
rnacentral:rRNA from 1 species